UACGGGGGGUGCGAGCGUUGUCCGGAAUCACUGGGCGUAAAGCGUGCGCAGGCGGUUCGUUGUGUCGGUGGUGAAAUCCCCGGGCUUAACCUGGGAAUGGCCAUGGAAACUGGCGAACUGGAGUGUGGCAGAGGGGGGUGGAAUUCCGCGUGUAGCAGUGAAAUGCGUAGAGAUGCGGAGGAACACCGAUGGCGAAGGCAGCCCCCUGGGCUAGCACUGACGCUCAGGCACGAAAGCGUGGGGAGCAAACAGG
rnacentral:rRNA from 1 species